rnacentral:misc_RNA from 1 species
GUUGAAAAUGAGCAAAUCUUUGGGAAAUGUUGUUGAUCCAAGGAUGGUGAUUGAGGGAGGGAAAAACCAAAAGGAAAACCCUCCAUAUAGUGCUGAUGUCUUAAGGCUUUGGGUUUCAAGUGUAGACUAUACUGGCGACAUGCUAAUUGGACCUCAAGUCCUUCGUCAAAUGUCUGACAUAUACCGGAAAUUGCGAGGAACACUCCGAUUCCUUCUAGCAAAUCUCCAUGAUUGGAAAGCUGAUUAUACAGUCCCGUAUAGUGAUCUUCCGAUGAUUGAUCAGCAUGCAUUAUUCCAGCUUGCUAAUGUUGUGAACAACAUUAGAGAGAGCUAUGAUAGUUAU